GGGACUGCCUUGGUUGGGUCAAUGAUGAGAACUCAUAUAAUCCCGAAGACAGAUGAAGACCUAAAAAUUAUGCUCAAUAGGAUUACACUGAGGCCCAGUGAAGGGCACCGCACUGAGGCGGGAUCCUGGUGACCCAUGUGACCUGGCAUAGCGCUGGCACCUGGGGAUCAAGGCCACUGAUCCCUCGAGAUUCCCCAGUGAGAUUCUCCCUGGCCUCUGUGCCUCUGUGUGCCUAAGAUGUGCUCCCACCCUAGGGCAUUGUGCGCCUAUUACUAGGGCUUCCCGGGACUCAUUCCUGGGAACCCAACUAAGCUCCCUUGGUGUCCUGGUGUCUUUCAGUGGGACAUCGUCUUGGUGACCAGGGUCUCGUCAUUGAGCCCACCAUGGGAGGAGAAUGGAUGCCUAUCCUGCGCCCCGUUCGAUAUCCCACCUGGUGCACGGAGGGGAGUUUGGCCUAUCUUCGGGAAUUGGCCCCAAGCCAGGGGCCCUAAUGGCCACCCUGCACAUCACAAUCCCUCUCUGAUCACGCACCCCGACUGAGAUCCCACCUGGCACACGGAGGGGAGUUUGGCCCAUCUUCGGGAACAGGCCCCAAGCCACGGGCCCUCAAGGCCACCCUGCGCAUCACAACCCCUCUCUGAUACUGUGCCCCCACCGAGAUCCCACCUGGUGCAUGGAGGGACAUUUGGCCCACCGUCGAGAACAAGCCUCAAGCCAGGGGCCCCCAUAGCCAUGCCACACAUCAAAAAACUUCUCUGAUCCCGUGCUCUGACCAAGAACCCACCUGGGUCAUGGAGGGGAGUUUGGCCCAUCUUCAGGAACAAGCAUCAUGCCAGUGGCCCCCAUGGCCAUGCCGCAUAUCACAAAACCUCUCUGGGGGAUGUCGCCAUGGUGACCAGGAUCCCACUUGAGCCCACCAUCGGACGAUAGCGGACGCCUGUAUCCCACGCCAUGACCGAGAUCCCACCUGGAGCACGGUGGGGAGUUUGGCCCAUCUUUGGGAACAGGUCAUGACCCAGGAACCCCCAUGGCCACUCUGCCCAUAACAAAACUUCUCUGUGGGACAUCGUCUUGGUGAUCAGGGUCUCGCCAUUGAGCCCGCCAUGGGAGGAGAAUGGAUGCCUGUAUCCCGUGCACCCACCGAGAUCCCACCUGGCACACGGAAGGGAGUUUGGCCCAUCUUCAGGAACAUGCCUCAAAGCUAGGGGCCCCCAUGGCCAUGCAGCACAUCAUAAAACAUCCUUGGUUGUCUGGAAACAACACAUCACCCGCAACACCUGCAAGGGAUGCCACCGUCCCCCGCGGGAUCCUCUACUUGAUGGCCCAUGGCCCCACUUCCCAGUCUGGAGGGCACUCCAGUUUUUGUCAGAAUCACUGAAGCUUUACUAGGCACACGAGAUGCUGUGGUGGGAAUUGCACACCCUCAAUGUGACCUCUUGCGUGGAAGCAGUGCAACCAAAUUUCACAAAAUGGGUUUUGGAGGCAGGGGCCAGAUCCUGCGCCCCGACUGAGAUCCCACCUGGUGCACGGAGAGGAGUUUGGCCCAUCAUUGGAAACAAACCUCAAGCCAGGGGCCCCCAUGUCCACCCUGCACAUCACAAAACCUCUCUGAUCCCACCCCACGACUGAGAUCUCACCUGGUGCAUGGAGGGGAGUGUGGCCAAUCUUCGGAAACAGGCCCCAAGCCAAGGGCCCCUAUGGCCACCCUGCAUAUCACAAACCCUCUCUGUGGGACGUCGCCUUGGUGACCAGGGUCUCGCCACUGAGCUCACAAUGGGAGGAGAGUGAAUGUCUGUAUUCUGCACCCUGACUGAGCUCUCACCUGGCACACGAGGGGAGUUUGGCCCAUCUUUGGGAACAGGCCUCAAGCCAGGGGCCCUCAUGUCCACCCAGUGCAUCACAAACCCUCUCUGAUCCCCUGCCCAAAUGAAGAUCCCACCUGGCCCACAUAAUCAAUUGGCCCAGCUUCUGGAAUAUGCCCACACUAAGGUGCCACCCCAGCCAUCUCGCAUUCAAGACACCCUCUUUGUGGGACGUCAUCUUGGCCAGGGUUUCACCAUUUCCCCCACCAUGCCAGGUGAAAGAUGCCACUGCUUGUAGUGGAGGCCCUAGAGGACAUGGUGUGGAUUUUGAGGCCUGUCUCAUGGCAAUGCCGGCCUGUGUGUUGAACUGGGGCCUGUUAUGGCCACAGAGGUCCAUCCUUUCUGUGAACAUCAGCCCUGUGCAAUUGGCUGUCAGUAAAGCAACAGAUCAUCUUGGCAUCUGGAAAGUAUGUAAAUGACAAUGGAUGGCCUUCUUCCUCGCUGGUCCAUGGAACAGUUUUACUGGUGUGAGAGAAUGCCCAACUGGAGGCUCAAACCACUGCAGUAUGUGGAGGUCAAAAGCUAGAACAGGUUACUAUUUUUUUUUCAAGCGAACAAGUUACUUUCAAGAAAGAAAGUUUUGCUGAGAUAGGAUUGGAAUCAGGUUUUCCACUUCAAGGAAUAGAG